CAAGCCCAACAAAAAAAUGCGAAGUCCGUAUAAAAUAAGAAAAAUUAGGUGAAAAUUUGGAGAUGAGGCGUAAUGUUGUUCUUUGCUCAAGCGAACGAGGCUCCGGCGAGGGUAAUAGGGUUUUCUGAGAGGAAUCCUUUCUUGCCUUUGCCAUUUGAUCCUGCGAUCAAGUAUGAGCCGAUGAUUUCGAUGUCGAUUCGCCACCCGAUAAUCUCUCUCAAACAUACACACAUACACAAACAUAUACAUAUACUUCACAUUUCUCCAUCCAUGUCUACGAAUGAUAAACAAAACUGAUCAUCAGCGUUGCGGCAUUCGCCUAGUAUAUAUAUAUUGUGUUAUUACUGUUGCUGUUGUUGCUAAUUUAUUCUUCCGAUGAGGCGGUGACGAUGAGAUGUAGAAUGAGCAAUAUCGGAAUUUGGUGACCUGAUCUGUAUCUUGGCUGGGCAAUCCGGAUGGCAUAUGUUGUUCAUUUGGAGAUUUCUCUUCGGAAAUCGAUAUGCAUUGCAACUGCGAUUGCAGCCACGACGGAUUUGGGCAAAAAAAAUUCGAUUACAACAGAUCUGAGCCUCCGUUCUACCCUCGCAUCAUGCGUUUUGGUCUAGGUACUUUACCAUUAUUAUUCGUUCCAUAUUUUUAACAAAUAUAUUGUCUUGUUACUCAAUCCUGAUUACCUGGAUGUCUAAUUGUUUGAACUCUGAAUUUAUGAACCCUGAUAUUCCGAACCAGGGUGACUGUUGGUUAAUAAUAUAUAUUAGUUAUAUGUUUAGUUUAAAAUCAAUAAAUUAUUUUCUCAAACCCGAUAGUAAUUCAACGAGUAUCAUGUUUCAAACGAGUAUUUAUAAGCUACGUUAUUGAAAUAUAAUAUUAUAAAUGCAUUGCAGUUACAAAUCUAAUAUUAAAUGUUCGUUCAAUUAUUAUAUAGGUGCUCCUAAAUAUAUAGAUAGAAAAAGUUGGUUAUCAUCUAUGUUUUCCUAAAUAUAUAGUUGAAAUGAUAUUCGAUUUAGUUACUAAUGAUUCUUUUAUUACCAUCUAUAUUUUCCUAAAUAUUUUGUGCUAUGUUUUGAAAAUUUUCAUAUAUUAAAAUUGGAUCAUCGAUAAUUGCAAUUGUUUUUGUCAAUUUGGAUGAUAUUAAAGUGCCAGAUAUAUUGUUAGGAUCAAUUUUGAUUUAAAAGUUAAUUUAUUAUUUUGUUGUAGGGUUUAGCAAUUAGGAUAUGUUUUCAAACACUUUCACACAAAUAAAAUUCACAACUUCUGUCCAACUUUGCUUAUUGUUACAUGAUUCGUUUCUUGGUUUCACCUUUUGGGUGUAAUCAAGAUGAUCAGAAGAGCAAGUGUCAUUGUUUGAUUCUCAGAGGCUAUAACAAUGAAUUUUGAUCUCAGACUUUGUUUAUCUGAUCUGUAUCUUGGCUGGGUAAUCCAGAUAGCAUGUGCUUGUUUUCUAGAAACUAUUUCUAUGAAUGUUACUUGCAACUGUGAAUCUGUGAUUGCAACCAUGGCAGAUUUUGAUGAUUCAAUUUCCCUAGAUUGUAACAGAUCUGAGCCUUGACUCAUCUACAAAGCCUAAUCUUGAUCAUUAGUCAAAGGCUAAUGCAACGAAUAGCAACAAUACUUUCAUUUAUUUGUUUAUUAUAGCAUCCUGCUUCUGUUUAUCUACUUUAAUAAAUGAAGGUUUUUUUAUCACUUGUCACACUCUCAUUCAAUUUGCCAAAUGUUAUUUUAUUAUUAAUUUGAAUUAAUUUUUUUUCACAUAUCAUUUUAUGGGUUUACCUAUUUUAAUAAAUUUCACAUGAUACUUUAAUGUAAUAAUUACAAUAAAUAUAGUAAUAAAUGAAUAUGAAUUUCAUUAAUGGAUUUACCUUCUUAUUUAAAAAAUUUCAAAUUAAAGCUCGAUAGUUUAUUUUGUUUAUUUAUUUAAAUUUAAAAGUUAAAAAAAAUUAAUUUUAAUAAUUCUUUAUUUUUCUUAUUUUUUUAUAAAUCCAAAGUUUUUAAAUAAUUAGACCUUUCUAUUAAAUUUUUUUAAUUAACCCAUGUAAUACAUUGGUCUUACACCUGGUUUCUAUUAGAACUUGGAAAAUCUAUCCAAUUAAAGCAAUGGUGGUAGUGGACUGGUGGUGAUGAUGAUGAUGACGACGACGAUGAUGAUGGUUAAGUUUAUGGAAAAUCUAUCCAAUUGAAGCAAUAUUAGUAAUAUUUUAAUGGAAAAGGCGAUGAUGAUGAUGAUGAUGAUGAUGGGUGUUAUUCUAAGCAAAUAUGAAGAGACACUGAAGAUUGGUUCUCUGUAUCUUGGCAGGGCAACUUCUUGAUGGCAAAGUGAGAAGUGACUUUGCAACUGUGUUUGUUUGCAGCCAUGGCAGAGUCCCCAUCUUCUUUGUCAUCAUUCCCUAAUUACAGAUCUGAGCCUAAGGAUUUUCCUGUUGCUAUUAUGGUUUUUGAAAAAAUAAAAUAAAAUUCAUGGAGUGAUUAUCAUUGAACUGUUUGAAUUUAAGUUAUUAGAAUUUUGUGAAGGGAAAAUAUUUAAUCAUAUCAUUUUUCUCUAACUUAAUUAUUCGAAUGGGGAAGAAUUGAGAGUUAUGGAAAAUGAAUAUAUAUCGGACAAUUUAAGUAUAUUUGUUUAAUUGCUUAGAGUUUUUGCUUGAAUAUAGGUUUGACAACUUUACAAACUGCAACGUCUCAAGUUAGUAUUAUAUCUGGCUUUUCAGUUAAAAAAAAAAGCUAAUUCAGUUUUUUACUUAUAAGACCAAACUAUACUUUAUAGACCUACUCCACAAGAUUUUUUUUCUUCUUUAAAUUGACAACAAAGAAAAGAAGUUUAUGACAUGGGAAAUUGAGUUGUUAUAACCCUGAUUUUUUUUUUUUAACUCUUUCAACCUUAGCACCAUGUGGAUAUGCUAUGAUAUAUUUAUGUGGUUUACUUUAUUCUUUUCAAGAGUUAAUGUGGAAUUUAUAAAAUGAAUAAUGCAUAUUCUACCAAAGAUUCUUCUUUUUGUGACCUUUUUACAAAUUAGUCAAACCUUUAAAAGCAAAAAAUCAUCAAAAAAAUUGGAUGGAACAUUGAUGGGUGGGUGGAUUUUGUGUUGGGUGUUGAAGAAAGCAAAGUAAUCGCAACAGAAAAUGGGUAAGCAUCAAGAAAUAGCAACCUACUUUGGAUUCAUUUCUUAAAAUACUUUAUCUUAGAAACAAUUGUUGUAGUUGGGCUUGCUUAAGCAUUCAUAAAUAACUUUCUAGAAAUAGAUAUAUGAUACAUGGAGAUCUAUCAUUGGUUUUCAUCAAACAUUUAUCGAUUAUGCAAUUCUUUUUUCCAUGUUUCAGAUUGGUCAAAAUUGAGGACAAAGGAAGUUUGCAACAAGUAAAAAAAUUGAAGUACAUUAGUAUUUUUGUAUCAUACACUAUGUGUUUGGAACUAAGAAAAAGUUAAGACAUUAUUCACUUUUAGAGUAGUGCAAUUCUAUGCAUUUUUUGUUGCUAAAAAGUAUGUUGUUACAAAGGGAAAAACAUGAAGCUAUUUUGUAUCCAUAUGCUUUUCUUUUAUAAAAAUGUCAACAAAAUUCCACACUACCCUUCCGCCCAAUGUGGAAGGCGGGAGACCCCCUAUUUGUUAUUAUUUAUAAAAAUUAUGAGUAUUAUUAUCUGUAAUAGAUUGUAAAUAAAGAAAAC
rnacentral:lncRNA from 1 species